UCUCUAACUUAUAACUAAGGCUAUUAAUUUCAAUACCUAAUUAAAGACUCAUAAUAUUGCUCUUGGUUAUAAUUAAAAACUAAGUAUAUGAAAAUUGAUUGACUAGGUAACGUUUCAUAUCUAUAUGGUAAAGUCCCGAAUACGAUACCCAGGGAUAUGUACAACGUAUAUUUCGUCUCUUCCUUCUUUAGAUAGAGUUUUACCAAGUGCUGCAAAUUUUUGCACCAACCCACACGAACCUUUUAUGGAGUUCUGUUUGUUGUUGUAUCGGCAGAAAACAUUCCCAAACAAGUAAAGAAUGAAAGAAUAAUGUCACAAUAUUAGCAGAAAAAGAUAAUCUUUAAACGCAUACAUAAUAUAGAAACCACAAGUUUGUCAAAUUCAAUUAAAUCAAUAAAAUAUCGUGUACUAACUUGCGCAGUUGCAUUCGUACAAAGAGUUUGAGCGAUAGUCUUUUUAUCACAUUUCGUGAUUUGCUGACGAAAAUCAACAUAAAGGAAGUGAUUGACUGCCAGUGGGGCUUCUCAGCGACUCUAAGAUAAACUCAUCAUGACAGCGGUAACUUCACUUCUUUGCGCAUAUAUACAAUAAAUAUUAGACAUGUAGGUAUGUACCUAUGUAUAUUGUAAAGGCGUCUGAGUGUUAUUUCUAAGUGAGUGAGUUUUGUUCUCACUGCGGUAAAAUGUCACCGUGAUAACUUUAUCAUUUGACAUUUGAUUAUGUGUCAUGUUGACAUGUGAAUGUGAAACGGUGAUUUUCUGUCCCUCAAUCACUCAGUAACUUGGCGGAAUGGUUGAUUGCGGUUUGCCGGUGCUGUGGUGUUGCGGUGUCUGCCAAAGAUGAUAAUUUUGAAAGAGGUGAAGAAAGUAAGAUGUGGAGAUGGAUGCCUGAGAAGACAGUUGCUAAGAAAAAUUAUUUAAGAAGCUGUAGUUUUUCCUUUUCAAAGGUUAAACGAAUUUUCGUUGCAAUUAUGAAAUAUCGUCAGAAGCGAUCGGGCUAACGCUAAUUAUAAACAGGAAAAUCGUAAUGACAGGGGACAGAGAUAUACAAAAUACACUUGCUUUUACACACACACAUACACAUUUAUAAACUAUAUACCGUUCUGCAAACCAACAGGCGAUAUACAAAAAAAAAUGUGAAUACAACAAAAAUAAUUAAAACUACAUGAGAAAAAUAUGGCAAGGACAUUAAGUGCAAUUAUUGCAUGGAUACUACAGUCAAGUCAAAAAAAACCACUACAUUUGUAAUAAACGCUCCGAUACAUGCCCACAAAUAUAUGUAAUAAUAAUUAAAUGUGUUGUUAUUGGUGAUAAAUGAUAAUAAGCUAGGUAUUUAAUGCGGGUUUGCUGUACAACAUAAUUCUUCCGACAUCUGCUCAUAAUAAUUUACAGCCACACACCGGGCAUUUGAAACGGCAGUUGUAAGAGUUUUUAGAAUUUUCUUUAAAUAUGGUUUGAUAUUUAUAUGCGUUUACAGUGGUUAGUAGAUAAGGCAACCUUGGAUAAGAAUGAAUCGAACGCACAAUUAGUAAAGAUAAAACAUACUGGCAUAAUUAAAUAAGGACAGAAUAGCAAGCGGUUACCAGUUUUAGCUUUUAUAGUGAUAAUAUAAUUUUUUUGGCGAAUGCAAUGGAUAUAAUACCAGUUUAGCAUAAAAUCACAUGAACUUUAAUAUAGACUAAUCUAGUUAGGUAUUGA